rnacentral:rRNA from 1 species
AUUGAACGCUGGCGGCAGGCCUAACACAUGCAAGUCGAGCGGAGGAAGGGAGCUUGCUCCUGGAUUCAGCGGCGGACGGGUGAGUAAUGCCUAGGAAUCUGCCUGGUAGUGGGGGAUAACGUCCGGAAACGGGCGCUAAUACCGCAUACGUCCUGAGGGAGAAAGUGGGGGAUCUUCGGACCUCACGCUAUCUGAUGAGCCUAGGUCGGAUUAGCUAGUUGGUGGGGUAAAGGCCUACCAAGGCGACGAUCCGUAACUGGUCUGAGAGGAUGAUCAGUCACCCUGGAACUGGGACACGGUCCAGACUCCUACGGGAGGCAGCAGUGGGGAAUAUUGGACAAUGGGCGAAAGCCUGCUCCAGCCAUGCCGCGUGUGUGAAGAAGGUCUUCGGAUUGUAAAGCACUUUAAGUUGGGAGGAAGGGCAGUAAGUUAAUACCUUGCUGUUUUGACGUUACCAACAGAAUAAGCACCGGCUAACUUCGUG